rnacentral:rRNA from 1 species
UACGAAGGGGGCUAGCGUUGUUCGGAAUUACUGGGCGUAAAGGGUGCGUAGGCGGGUCUUUAAGUCAGGGGUGAAAUCCUGGAGCUCAACUCCAGAACUGCCUUUGAUACUGAAGAUCUUGAGUUCGGGAGAGGUGAGUGAAACUGCGAGUGUAGAGGUGAAAUUCGUAGAUAUUCGCAAGAACACCAGUGGCGAAGGCGGCUCACUGGCCCGAUACUGACGCUGAGGCACGAAAGCGUGGGGAGCAAACAGG